rfam:Cavia porcellus supercont2_15 genomic scaffold, whole genome shotgun sequence.
AGUUCUCACUUUAGCAGCAUUAUGUAUUAAAAUUAGAAUAAUACAGAGAUUAACGUGCCCUUUAUGCAAAGAUGACAUGCAAAUUCAUGAAAUGUUCUAUACUUUU